GACAGAGGGUGCAAACGUUUGUUCGGAAUUACUGGGCGUAAAGCGCGUGUAGGCGGCUAAGUAAGUCGGGCGUGAAAUCCCACGGCUCAACCGUGGAAGUGCACUCGAAACUGCAUAGCUAGAGUCCUGGAGAGGAAGGUGGAAUGCUUGGUGUAGAGGUGAAAUUCGUAGAUAUCAAAGCGGAACACCGGUGGCGAAGGCGACUUACUGGAC
rnacentral:rRNA from 1 species